CUUCCCUGUUCUCCUUAUUUCUUCUCUUUUUUAUAUUUUUUUCUAUUUUAUACGUGUUGGUAUCGUCUAUUGUAAUUUUUUCAAUUUCGUACCGGUAAAAGGAUCCGGCCAAAAUUUCGCCUGACAUGUCUUCUAAAACGUAUCAAUCCUGAUGGUCUCUGAUUAAUCUUUUGUAAAUCUUGAAAUAUUCCAACAUCCAAUUUUCCGAAUAACCUUUAUCAAAUACUUUUUUCAAGUGUGACACCCUCACAAUGGCUCCGGAAUUAAAUUUGAAUGUUUUCGUUCUAAUUUUCUUUUUUUUUCAGAUUUCACCGGUUUUACGUCAACUUUUUUUUUUACUGUAUGUAUCUGAUUUCAUCUUCAUUUCUCUUUGUUACAGAUGCAGGUGUUGCCCCACCUAACGAUUUGUGUGGUGUAUUGUUGAACUCUUAACUAUGUCUUGUAACACGUCUAUAUAUCUAUAAGUUUGUUUUUGCAUAAAGUAAGCGUAAAUUCUGUUUUUAAUAAUUCUGAUCACUCUUUCUGCAUAGUUGGCUUUAAUUUGACUAUUUUGUGUGUAAAAAACAUGAAUUUUUUCCUUUU
rnacentral:lncRNA from 1 species